ensembl:lncRNA
CUACAUCACGAGAAACCUCAGACACAUUCCGGCCCUUCCCAGCUCGGAAUUUCAAACAAAGGUGACCGGAUUCAUUGGACGGCGGACACGGCCGGUAGCAUGCUCCAGCACUGGCUGCAGUAUUUAAAUUAAAUCUCCCCAUAAGCCUGCAUAAACAGGAGGGGAAUAGAAAUGUCAUCGUCCUAUCAAAAAAAUUCCACAUCACUCCCUGUCAACUUAGCCUCCUUAAUAAAGGCCUAACAUUUAUCCCAUCGGGCACAACGGGCAUGAAGCGACAGGUGAUACAAACACGAUUCGACCUACAGCAAUACCACAGAAGACUAAAAUUAGCGGCCUAUUUCCAUAAUGACACACAAAAAGAACCACCUCCGUUCACACCUAAAUCUGAUUGGACCCCGCCGACAGAUAAACUACCCGCAGAACUUCUCAAUCUAUUUGAGACGGACCUAAAACUUUUUAAAAAUCAUUUCAGGCCACCCCGAGAAGAACCGAACCUCACUCCGGGGGAGAUUGAUGCUCUCAGGGAACUGCAGAGUAACAAACAGAUCAUUCUAAAACCGGCAGACAAAGGGAGUGCCAUAGUCAUUAUGGAUCGGGAACAAUAUUUAUGGGAGGGGUACAAACAAUUAAAUGACCCUAAAUAUUAUAGGAAAUUGAAAGAACCGAUAUACCUAGACACCAUACCGAUGGUAAAAGAAAUAACACAAAGUCUUUACACAAAAAAAUACAUUAACGCGAAACAAAAAUCCUACCUACUGGGGAAUUUAGAACCGAGGAGCAGGAGGUUUUACAUGCUCCCGAAAAUACAUAAGGACCGAGCAAAAUGGAGCAGGCCCUAUGAAAUUCCCCCAGGAAGACCCAUAGUUUCAGACUGUGGUAGCGAGACCUACUACACGGCCGAAUUCCUUGAUUAUUAUCUAAAUCCCCUUUCCAUGGGCCACCCCAGUUACAUUAAGGAUACGUACGAUUUUGUACACAAGGUGAAAGGACUAAAAAUCCCGCCGAAAGCCAUCCUUUUC